AGAAACUUCAGCAAUGGCCGCCAAGAAGACUGCCCGGAAUCCGGAGCUGAUUCGUGGAGUGGGAAAAUUUUCCCGUUCCAAGAUGUACCACAAGAAGGGUCUUUGGGCCAUUAAGAAGAAGAACGGCGGCGCUUUACCCGUUCACUCAAAAAAGCCCGCCGUAGCUCCGGUGGCUGAGAAAGCCCCAAAAUUCUACCCCGCCGAUGACGUGAAGAAACCCCUUGUGAACAAACACAAACCAAAACCCACUAAGCUUAGGUCAAGUAUUACACCUGGUACUGUUUUGAUUAUCCUUGCUGGAAGGUUUAAGGGUAAAAGAGUUGUGUUUUUGAAGCAGCUUGUAUCUGGUUUGCUUCUCGUUACUGGUCCAUUUAAGUUCAAUGGAGUUCCUUUGAGGCGUGUGAAUCAAGCUUAUGUUAUUGGUACCUCAACAAAGGUGGAUAUUUCUGGAGUGAAUGUUGAUAAGAUUGAUGAUAAGUACUUUGCUAAACAAGUUGAGAAGAAGCAGAAGAAGGGAGAAGGAGAGUUUUUUGAAGAAAAGAAAGAGGAGAAGAAUGUGCUUCCUCAGGAGAAGAAGGAUGAACAGAAGGCUGUUGAUGCAGCAUUGAUCAAGGCUAUCGAGGCUGUUCCUGAAUUGAAGGGUUACUUGUCUGCAAGGUUCUCGCUCAAGUCGGGCAUGAAACCCCAUGAGCUUGUCUUUUAGACCAGAUAAUUAAACUACUUUUGAUGAAAUUGAUUUUGUUAGAUCCAUUUUGUUUUAUGUUCUGUUUUGAAACUGCGUUUAGUCUUUGUAUUGAAGAUUUUGUUGGUUAUAAACAUCUUAAGUUGAAAUAUGCAAUAUGAGAUUUGC
rnacentral:misc_RNA from 1 species